rnacentral:rRNA from 1 species
UGGGCGUAAGAGCUCGUAGGCGGUUUGUCGCGUCUGCUGUGAAAUCCCGAGGCUCAACCUCGGGUCUGCAGUGGGUACGGGCAGACUAGAGUGCGGUAGGGGAGAUUGGAAUUCCUGGUGUAGCGGUGGAAUGCGCAGAUAUCAGGAGGAACACCGAUGGCGAAGGCAGAUCUCUGGGCCGUAACUGACGCUGAGGAGCGAAAGGGUGGGGAGCAAACAGGCUUAGAUACCCUGGUAGUCCACCCCGUAAACGUUGGGAACUAGUUGUGGGGUCCUUUCCACGGAUUCCGUGACGCAGCUAACGCAUUAAGUUCCCCGCCUGGGGAGUACGGCCGCAAGGCUAAAACUCAAAGGAAUUGACGGGGACCCGCACAAGCGGCGGAGCAUGCGGAUUAAUUCGAUGCAACGCGAAGAACCUUACCAAGGCUUGACAUACACGAGAACGCUGCAGAAAUGUAGAACUCUUUGGACACUCGUGAACAGGUGGUGCAUGGUUGUCGUCAGCUCGUGUCGUGAGAUGUUGGGUUAAGUCCCGCAACGAGCGCAACCCUCGUUCUAUGUUGCCAGCACGUGAUGGUGGGAACUCAUGGGAUACUGCCGGGGUCAACUCGGAGGAAGGUGGGGAUGACGUCAAAUCAUCAUGCCCCUUAUGUCUUGGGCUUCACGCAUGCUACAAUGGCCGGUACAAAGGGCUGCAAUACCGUAAGGUGGAGCGAAUCCCAAAAA